rnacentral:rRNA from 1 species
GACGAACGCUGGCGGCGUGCUUAACACAUGCAAGUCGAACGGAAAGGCCCCUUUGGGGGUACUCGAGUGGCGCACGGGUGAGUAACACGUGAGUAACCUGCCCUUGACUUCGGGAUAACUUCAGGAAACUGGGGCUAAUACCGGCAAGGAAUCCUUGCUGCAUGGUGGGGGUUGGAAAGCUUCGGCGGUUUUGGAUGGACUCGCGGCUUAUCAGCUUGUUGGUGGGGUAGUGGCUUACCAAGGCUUCGACGGGUAGCCGGCCUGAGAGGGCGACCGGCCACAUUGGGACUGAGAUACGGCACAGACUCCUACGGGAGGAAGCAGUGGGGAAUAUUGCACAAUGGGCGGAAGCCGGAUGCAGCAACGCCGCGGGCGGGAUGACGGCCUUCGGGUUGAAAACCGCUUUCAGCAGGGGCGAAGCUUGUGGUGACGGUACCUGCAGAAGAAGCACCGGCUAACUACGUG